UCCCUCAUAGCUCAGUUGGUAAAGAAUCUGCCUGCAAUGCAGGAAACCCCGGUUCAAUUCCUGGGUUGGGGGG
rfam:Ovis aries breed Texel chromosome 1, whole genome shotgun sequence.